AACGAACGCUGGCGCCAUGCUUAACACAUGCAAGUCGGACGGUAGAGCCCGCUCCAUGGUAGGCUACGGCCGAACGUGCACGUAACACGUGCGUAACCGCCCCGGGAAGUUUGGAUAACUCUUGGAAACUGGCUGUGGAUCCGGAUAUCUGCCCCUACCCCAUCUGGGGGGUUGGUAAGCCCUCGCGUUUGUGGAUGGACGCCCGGCCUAACGGCUUGUUGGUGGGGUAAUAGCCUACCAAUGCCGCGACGCCUAGCCGGCCUGAGAGGGUGACCCGCCUCAUUCGGACGGAGAUACGGCCCCGACCCCUACGGGAGGCAGCAGUGGGGCAUAUUGCACCCUGGGCGCCCGCCUGAUGCAGCAACGCCGCGUGCGGGAUGACGGCCUUCGGGUUGCAAACCGCCUUCAGCAGCGACGAAGCUUUUUGUGACGCUACCUGCAGAAGAAGCACCCGCUAACUCCGUG
rnacentral:rRNA from 1 species